GAAGUUUAGGAGUUGAGGAAAGAAGAUUAAAGAGCGCGAGGAGAUCUCACAGACCAGUGGAAUAAAGGCCUUUUGCAUAUGAGGAUCAGGUGACAAGUUAACUGGCUACCAACCUCCAAAGCAAUUCGCCCUUUCAUGUCACACAAAAAGAAGUGUUAAGGAUUGCCCUUUGAGACACUGAAGGCUAAAGACUGCCUGAAGUUACAUUUAGAGACUGAAAUCACUGCACCUUAAAAACAAAAGAUUGAGCUGCACUGCAUUCCUGUAAGUGAAAGCUUCCUCUACCUUCCUCUGUGUUUUUGUGACCAACUCAAAAAAGAACAAAAAUAUUGGUAACAUAGUAACCAGACAUGAGUAAAAAUUUGAAUAUCUCUGAAGAAAUACAUGUUUAAAUGAUUUCCCUUUUUUAAAAAAGAAAAUUUUUUGGGCUCAAUAUUCUGUAUGUCUUUUUUAUCCAACCUAAAUUGUGAAUCCUUUCUUUUGGCUGGUUUGAAUUGCAUUAAGGGAGGGUGUCACCCACCAUACAUCAGCACAGUGACAUACACCCUGUCAGGAAGGAAUCUUACAUUUUGGUACAAGUCUCUUUGAAGGUUACAGAUUUCUUAUGGAACCAAAGUAGAUUCCUUUUUCCUUUGUGAUGUCAUUAGAAAUUUUUAGCCUUUGUGUCAAUGUAAAUGGAGAGAAAGAAAGUUCAUGAUGACAUCACAAGAUUCUGUUGCCUUGAGGACUUUGGGCAAAACUAAGUAAAAUGCAUAAUUCCCUUGUGUGCGUGUGUUCCCCAUUCUGCUAUGAAGCAGUCAAAAUAGCACAUCUUAUGUCUUCCCGUGAGCUACAAGCCUGUCUCUCAGAGCCCCAUUGUUCCAUAAAUGCAUGUCAGAGUCUACCACAGUCUGGUCUACCCUUAUUUAGCUGCUGUUUUGUCAAUGUACUUGGAAGAACAAUUAACAUUUGGGAUUUCAAUGUCUGAAUAACAGGCAGUGAAUAGAGCCCAAGCAUAUAAAAGAUUCAAACGCCCAGGGUAAGAAAACAGAAGCUUAUAGUUGUCAAUGUUUUUUUGUUUUUGUUUUUAUUUUUUUUUAAUCUUAGAUCAAAAUGUACAUUUUGGUAAUGAAAUCCAGAAGAUUAUGAUGUCUUCCUAAGUUGUGCAAUUUAAUAUGUUGAGAUGCCUUUUGCUUGAAACACUUAAAUAACAUUCAUCUCCUUGUGUCAUUGUUGGAAUGCCGGAUGUGGGGUAUACUGAAUUGUAGUUUUCAGUGUCAUAGUGCCUAUCGGCAGAGUACAUGGAAGGUGAUUCAGAUGAUUUCCUCCAUUUUCACUUGAGUUUACUGCACUCUUUCAUUAUUGCCUGUAAUUCCUGUAUGUUUGCUGUAUACAGUUCUAAUGUUGCCUAAAUAUUUUUGCCUAUUGUCUGAAUUCCUGCUAGGUCCCUUUUUUUUUUUUUUUUGAGAGAGGAUAUGUGGACAGAGCAAGAUCAACUCACUAUCAGGGUAUCUGGUAAACUGGAGGAAAUUUUGGCAGCUUAUGUAUUUUGCCCACUGAGCACAGUGCCUGGCUGAUAUGAGUGAAUAAAUGAUGGUUAUUGUUAUUUUUGUCAUAACUACAAUGGUCCAAAAUGAUAGAUAGUAAGAUCUCUAAAAUCAGGGUCUAUUGCUUAUUCAUUUUUGUAAUCCUCAGUGCUUGGUAUAAUAAUAGUAAUCAAGAAAUAGCUGUUGUUAUUAAUACAAUCAGAAAAUUUGUUAAGUUAGAACUUUAGGAAUAUUCAUUCAGAGAAUAUUUAUUGUGAAGAGGGGUUGAAUAAAGUUUUUGACAGUCAGGAAGAUAAUUAUAAAGGAACUUGUCAAAGACAAACCGACUAUUCCCCAUAUAACAUUAGAUAUCAAUCUCCUAGUCUUUUCCCUCUUUGACUUUAUACUCCUUUCUCCUGACCAGAAUGAGAAGUAUCCAUUCAUACCAUAUCCUUUUUGUCUGUGAGGAGGUCUUUAGUAGUUUUCUGUUUAAAUUGUGUGUCUUACUUCCCAUACACUGGAGUUGUCUCCAAAGAUAAAUGUAUGUGACUCCAGGAUGGAUGGUGCCCUGUACCUAUUUGUUUAAUUGAUAUGCAGUGGACUGUGCUUCAAGGUACAAAGAUAUUGAGUCAAGAGGCCAGAGUUUUGGGAAGUUGCCAUUAUAAACUUCUACUUUCAGUUCAUCAAAAGCCAGGACCAGUUUCUCAGCACAAGUAAGACCAUAGCAUUCUUUAGAACUCAGAACCAUUUGACUACUUCUAAGUUUAGCUUCCUGGUUGGUUGUUUUUUUUGGCAUAAAGUUCUCUGUCCUCCCUCACCAAUUUUAAUUUAUUUCUAAAAGGGGUCCCUUCAUUUUUAUUAAAUUAGCUUCUGGUGAUGCAAAUUAAGGCUCUCAUAAAACUUGGCCUCUGAGGCAAAGCUAAAAUGAUAAAAUUUUGUACUGUUAUCAUGUUGAAUACCAUUUAGGGAUAUCAAAGAACUUUAUAAACACAUUUCACAUUUUUUAAGAUUAAAAGAUUGAGGUGAGAGGGAUUGAAGGGCAGAGCAUCAUCAAACAUUAUAGUUAGAAAUGAUGAAAGAAAUAAAAGUCCAAUCAUCACAUUUUGUUUUGUUUUGUUUUGUUUUAUUUUAUUUUAUUUUAUUUUAUUUUAUUUUAUUUUAUUUUAUUUUAUUUUAUUUUUUGUCAUUUUAGGGCUGCAACUGAAGCAUAUGGAAGUUCCCAGGCUAGGGGUCAAAUCGGAGCUACAGUUGCUAGCCUCCACCACAGCAACAGUGAUGCAGGAUCUGAGCUGUGUUUGUGACCUUACACCACAGUUCACAUCAACGCCAGGAUCCUUAACCCACUGAGCGAGGUCAGGGAUUGAUCGAACCUGCGUCCUCAAGGACAGUAGUUGGGUUCAUUCUGCUGAGCCACGAAGGGAGCUCCUAAACCCAAUUUUAGACUCUGAGGCUUUGAUCUUUCUUCUACACUCAGAGUCUGAGCUGUGUUUCCCAAGGAACAAAUUGCCUGAGGCUCAUUUUAUAAGACAUUGAACUGUGGCCUCCUCUAUCAACUGGUCCAAAAUUCAUAUAUAAAGAUAUUAUAAAAAUAUCUAUUAUUAUCAAAAAAGUUAUUUUUUUCUUAUACAUUUUGAUAUCGUGCUUCUGGUUGUGUGUUGAGUCAUGUAAAGGCAAAUUUAUGUGGUUGAUUUCAUAUCCUUUAUGAUGAUUUACAAAGUGGACAGAAGACCAUUAGAAACUUCAGUAGUUUAAUUUGGGCUUACAGGCAAGAUUAAACCAGUAAUCUGAACAGAGCAAUUGUGACAUGGAAUUCAGCCUUCCCAAGAAGGUGCAUCAUGCAUGGUGUCAGAAUGUCAUUUUUGCCAAGGGUCAUUUCCAUCAGAGCAAAGUUUUUCAAAGUCUGAAAAAAUUGAAAUAAAUUUUAAUUACUUGAAAUGAAUUACUUGCCUUAGUAAUUUAUUUCAGGAUUCCUUACUGUAUUCUGUCAUUUAGCAAUACAGAGAGAACAGUGUAGAAACUUUUUUAUUAUUUUACCCAGUGCUAAGUCCUAGAUACAGCUUAGUUUCUUUCCCAAAUGUGUAUAUCCCCUCCAGACCUUCCUACAUCCCACCAUGAAAAAACUCAAGACACUGUGUAUAAAAAAUUAGUUAUCUAUGUCUUUGUGUCCCAGAGAUGGAGGCAGUAUUCUACCUUUAAACAUUUCAUGGGAGCUCUGGCAUAUAGAGAAGAAAGUAUAAUUGGAGCACGAGGAUGCCAGAGCAGGGCCCUGGAUGUAAGUGCUUAACAAGAUUCUCCUAAUCAUGAAUGAAAAUUUAUUUUAUGCUUCUUUGAACAUAUCAUUCUACCAGAAUAUGCAGAUAAAAUAACACCUAUUUUCUUUCAUCGAGGAGUUCAUAAACUGACUGGACAACUGAUUUAUCUUUCUUAUAGACAAAAUAUUUUAUGGGUAAAAUAAAUAAAUGGUUAUCAUUUCUUCUGGACCAUCAAGGAAUAAUACGAUAUUAACAAGCAGCCUAAGCAGAGGGAAUGUGAGGUAACAAUGCUAAUGGUGUGAUUUGAGUAUAGAAUGCUGGUUGGAGCCAGCAUUUUCCGAAGUAUAGGUUGCAACCCAUUCAUAGGUCAUGAAAUCAGUUUAGGGGGUCAUAGUUAAGAUGCUUUUAAUGAAAUAGAAUCAAAAGAAGAAAUAUUACAAAAAGAUUGUGUUACAUAUUUUUAGGAUAUGGAUUGAAAAAUGCAUUUCUUACUGGGACUUUGCCACCAAAAUAUGAAAGCAUAUCUAAAGAUGAUAGGUCUUUUAAAUACUCACCUUGUAUAAUCCUGACUAAGGGAUAUAUAUUUUUCCCUAUUUUAACAUAUGAGAAAGUUGAUUAUUUAAGCAGUUUGUCCCAGGUCAUACAAAAGGUAAAUGGUUCAGAUAGGAUGUGAAUGUCUAUCAAACUCCACAUGAAUAUUUCUCCCAUGAUUUGACAGUUUUGCAGGGUUGUGUGACUUCUUUUAUUUCACUGUAGAUAGCUCAUACAUUUAUAUCUUGUCUCAAACUACAGUCCUAAAUUUCCAAUUUCCUUAUUUACAUCUUCAACUAGGUAUCACACCAAUUUUUCCUUUUUUUUUUUUUUUUUUUUGUCUUUUUGUCUUUUGUCUUUUGUUGUUGUUGUUGUUGCUAUUUCUUCGGCUGCUCCUGCGGCAUAUCGAGGUUCCCAGGCUAGGAGUUGAAUCGGAGUUGUAGCCACCGGCCUACGCCAGAGCCACAGCAACGCGGGAUCCGAGCCGCGUCUGCAACCUACACCACAGCUCACGGCAACGCCGGAUCGUUAACCCACUGAGCAAGGGCAGGGACCGAACCCGCGACCUCAUGGUUCCUGGUCGGAUUCGUUCACCACUGCGCCACAACGGGAACUCCCACACCAAUUUUUCAGAGUCAGUGUAUUAAAACUGUAAUAAGCCUCCUAGUUAAAAAUCAUCCUCCUUUUGACUAUUCUAAUUUUCUUCACCCCAAUCCUCCAGGUUACCUUGACUCCAAAUAUCUCAUUAUUGCCCCCCAAGUAUUCAAUAAGUGGCCAAGUCUUAUUUUUUUUUUUUUUUUUUGGUCUUUUUGCUAUUUCUUUGGGCCGCUCCCACAGCAUAUGGAGGUUCCCAGGCUAGGGGUCAAAUCGGAGCUGUAGCCCCCGGCCUACGCCAGAGCCACAGCAAUGCAGGAUCCGAGCCGCGUCUGCGACCUACACCACAGCUCAUGGCAACGUAGGAUCGUUAACCCACUGAGCAAGGGCAGGGACGGAACCCGCAACCUCAUGGUUCCUAGUCGGAUUCGUUAACCACUGAGCCACGACGGGAACUCCCAAGUCUUCUUAAUUUUUCUUUUUUGGUACCUCUGUCCUAGUCUGGUUUUCAUCUUCUCUUGCUUAUAACCUCUAAUUGGGAGAAAAAGGAGGAAAGAAGACCAGUUCAUUCUCAACUCUGUUGCCCCAUCAGUUUUCAUGAAGCAGGAGCCCUCAGAUCACAUCACUUUUAUUCCAACAAAACUUGAAUAUUCUAUACUAAUUACCAAGCAAUUCCUAACCUAUAUUCAUGACAACCUGAUAGCACCCACCUAUCCUUUUUUUGAGACAUAAAUAACUUUCUAUUUUUUUAAACAAUAUUUCUGGACAUGUCCUUUUUUUAACUAGGAAGCAAAUUCUUAGGGAUGGGGUCCAUAUUUAUUUAUUUAUUUAUUUAUUUAUUUUUGCUAUUUCUUGGGCUGCUCCCACGGCAUAUGGAGAUUCCCAGGCUAGGGGGUCUAAUCGGAGCCGUAGCCACCAGCCUACACCAGAGCCACAGCAACACAGGAUCCGAGCCGCGUCUGCAACCUACACCACAGCUCACGGCAACGCCGGAUCGUCAACCCACUGAGCAAGGGCAGGGACCGAACCCGAAACCUCAUGGUUCCUAGUCGGAUUCCUUAAUCACUGCACCACGACGGGAACUCCGAGAUGGGGUCCAUAUUUAAAUAACAAUUCUCAACCUAUAGAAUUUACUACAAUAGAAUCAUUAAUUCAUUAUUCAGCCAUCCUUAAUACUGGGAAUAUAGAGAUGAUCCAUUAGGGUCUCAUGGAAUUUAUAGUCUCCUAAGGGAAUCAGAAAUUAAAUAAGUAAAGAAAUAAUUACAAAAUUAGAAAAUAUAGUCCAUGAAAAGAGCUAAUAGCUAUGUAAGACAACAAUGGGUGGGGAAGAUCUAUUAUAUUGUCCCUUGGGUGCUCAAGAAAGAAUUCUCAGAGAAAGUGUCAACUUAAAGCUGAGAGUUGAAGGACAGAAGAAUCUGCUAGAUGAAGAAUUUGGGUUGGGGAUGGAAGCAUGAGAAGGAGAGACAGCUCCAGAGAGAAACAGCAUAGGCAAAGCAUUGAGGCAAGGACAAACUUUGUGUAGUCAGGAAAUAAAGGGAUUCUAGAGUGGCUAGAGAGAAGGGAGCAAAGGAGGAAAGUGACUGGAGGUGAGGUCAGAGAAGUAGCCAGAGUAGGGAAUUUGAAUUUUAUUCUGAAUACCCUGGAAAAGCACAUAGUAGAUAUACC
rnacentral:lncRNA from 1 species